GCAGUGGUGGUUGAGUGGUUAACGCUUUGGGUUACGAAUCCGAAGGUUGGGGGUUCAAGCCCCAGCAGCGUCA